AGCCAUUUCUGCUUAAUUGAGUUCAGUCAGUAGUUAGGUCUGCCUCUUGCAGUGAACAGAAUAAAGCAGCCUAUGGUUCACUCCCAGGGGCCACCACACAAGUGUGUCCAUGCAGCUGGAAUUUCAGGUGUGUCACCCUGGAGCUGAGGCCUCCAGAUGGACUCGUAGAAGGGAGAUGUGUAAGGCUCCAUCCCUCAGCAGCCCACGAUCUCUGAAGGUUUGCCACUGUGGCCAAUGUUUUAUGGAAGCUUCUGAGGCCGUAGAGCAGAGGGAAGUUCUGAGCACACGGAGGACAAGCCAGGGUGGUGCUGUGUGGCCGCAAACAACCCUAAGUAGGGAUACGUGUGGGGACAGGCUCUAACACCUUGAUUCCUUAUGUCUGUGUCUCUGCAGUAUGUUUCAUGGAGAGUCUGAGUGACAGCAACCAUGAUGAAAGUGAUACAGACUCAGUGGUGGAGAGCCUGAGCAGCCGCCAGGAUGAGGAGGCUGCAGCAACCCUCGAUGAUGUUGUGGAGGCCGGCGGGAGUGAGAAGACGGAGGAAGAGGCCCUGGCUGGGGCAAAUGAGGAGGAGGUGGGGCCGGGAACUGAGAAGGUGCAGGAGGAGGCUGCCUGCAUUGACGAGGCAGAGGAGGAGGCAGGCCCAUCCCUUGAAAAUGACGAGGAGUCCCCAGCCAGCGACCUGGUUGAGCAGGAAGACCAGCUUGCCCCCAAGGUAAGCUCACCUUUCUUGAUCGGAGAUUUAAAAAGGUGCCUCCUUUCUUCUUGGAUGUGCCUACUUCAGAAAAGGAAAUCUGAGCAAGUCCAUUAUAGAGGAU
rnacentral:lncRNA from 1 species